rnacentral:pre_miRNA from 1 species
GCAGAAUUAUUUUUGCAAUAUGUUCCUGAUAUGUAAUAUAUAAGUAUAUUGGGAACAUUUUGCAUCCAUAGUUUUGUAUC